rnacentral:rRNA from 1 species
CCUACGGGAGGCAGCAGUAGGGAAUAUUGCUCAAUGGGGGAAACCCUGAAGCAGCAACGCCGCGUGGAGGAUGAAGGUUUUCGGAUUGUAAACUCCUUUUGUUAGAGAAGAUAAUGACGGUAUCUAACGAAUAAGCACCGGCUAACUCCGUGCCAGCAGCCGCGGUAAUACGGAGGGUGCAAGCGUUACUCGGAAGCACUGGGCGUAAAGAGCGCGUAGGCGGGAUAGCAAGUCAGAUGUGAAAUCCUAUGGCUUAACCAUAGAACUGCAUUUGAAACUGUUAUUCUAGAGUAUGGGAGAGGUAGGUGGAAUGCUUGGUGUAGCGGUGAAAUCCGUAGAGAUCAAGAGGAAUACUCAUUGCGAAGGCGACCUACUAGAACAUAACUGACGCUGAUGCGCGAAAGCGUGGGGAGCAAACAGGAUUAGAUACCCGUGUAGUC